rnacentral:rRNA from 1 species
GACGAACGCUGGCGGCGUGCCUAAUACAUGCAAGUUGAGCGAUGAAGCUUGGUGCUUGCACCAAUUUGAAGAGCAGCGAACGGGUGAGUAACGCGUGGGGAAUCUGCCUUUGAGCGGGGGACAACAUUUGGAAACGAAUGCUAAUACCGCAUAACAACUUUAAACAUAAGUUUUAAGUUUGAAAGAUGCAAUUGCAUCACUCAAAGAUGAUCCCGCGUUGUAUUAGCUAGUUGGUGAGGUAAAGGCUCACCAAGGCGAUGAUACAUAGCCGACCUGAGAGGGUGAUCGGCCACAUUGGGACUGAGACACGGCCCAAACGCCUACGGGAGGCAGCAGUAGGGAAUCUUCGGCAAUGGACGAAAGUCUGACCGAGCAACGCCGCGGGAGUGAAGAAGGUUUUCGGAUCGUAAAACUCGGUUGGUAGAGAAGAACGUUGGUGAGAGUGGAAAGCUCAUCAAGUGACGGUAACUACCCAGAAAGGGACGGCUAACUACGUG